AGGACGAACGCUGGCGGCGUGCUUAACACAUGCAAGUCGAGCGGUAAGGCACCUUCGGGUGUACACGAGCGGCGAACGGGUGAGUAACACGUGAGUAAUCUGCCCUUCACUUGGGGAUAAGCCUCGGAAACGAGGUCUAAUACCCGAUACGACCAGUCCUCGCAUGAGGUGCUGGUGGAAAGUCUUGUCGGUGGAGGAUGUGCUCGCGGCCUAUCAGCUUGUUGGUGGGUAAUGGCCUACCAAGGCUUCGACGGGUA
rnacentral:rRNA from 1 species